rnacentral:rRNA from 1 species
GACGAACCGAGCGAACGUUGUUCGGAAUCACUGGGCUUAAAGGGCGCGUAGGCGGGUGCUCAAGUCUGUGGUGAAAUCCUCCGGCUCAACCGGAGAACUGCCAUGGAUACUGGGUGCCUCGAGGGUGGUAGGGGUAUGCGGAACUAUCGGUGGAGCGGUGAAAUGCGUUGAUAUCGAUAGGAACACCUGCGGCGAAGGCGGGUUGCUGGGCUGACACUGACGCUGAGGCGCGAAAGCUAGGGGAGCGAACGGG